rnacentral:lncRNA from 1 species
ACAGAUUCAUGCGUAUUGCGAUCACCGGAUCUUUACGAGGAGGGUCAAGCUAAGGUUACUAUGAAUACGGAAAAUAUGUCUGCGAAUGGCUUCCUGAAAGCAAACAAUUAAAAAUAAGUAAACAUCUUUAUAAAGAUAUAUGUAUCUGAUAUCAUUAUACCUUUUCUUAUUUUGUGAAACUCACCCGGUCGCAUUGUUCACCCUAAUUAAAAAAAUAAAAAUCGCAAUAAUAUCUAAAUACAC